GUUGCCCCUGCACGCUAUGGCCAUGGCAUCGGUGAGCAUGUCUCCACACGAGCCAACCUUUUAACGGCCUGCAGUCCAGCGUGUUGUGCAGCUUUCACACGCGUGUAGUCUACGUGUGCAUGUGCGUAAAGAGAGUGAGCGCGAGCGAGCGAGCGUGCGCAUCUCCUCAAUAGCUCUCUACCGCACAUUCUCUUUACACAGCAACACUGCGCGAGGCGAGGCGUUGACGGUCUUCGUCUCUCGCGAGCGCAGGAAGUUCCGUUCCGUAACGAUUAAGCGCCGCAUCGCUCACGUGUGCGUGUGAACCCUCGUGAGGACCUGCCUCUCCUCGAGGACACGAGCCCAGAAUCCCACAGUCUGCCGCGCGAGAAUGACCACAAGUGGCGGAGCUGCACCAAUCCGGAGCCGGCGCGCGCUCAGCAACGCCGGUCGGGCACAGAGAUGAGAGCGCGAGACGACGACCGUGCUGGAUGUUCCCUGUAGCCUGCCAUUGGGGAAAUAAUGCACACCUGCUGGAGCCCAUGGAAUACACAGCAUUAUAUCUGUGCAUUUAAAACUACUCGCACUUUACGGCGAAGGGCGUUUAUCACAAGCCCGCACGAAAUGAACACGAUACACACCGAAGUGGCUCACGGCUGAGAGGAACUUUGGCCCUUUUGGGGGUUUUCGAGACACCGGACGUUGCUCUGAAAAUGUUGCACACGAAAAGUAGGCAGUUUCUGUCGCAAUGACCGGGUAUGCGUUCCCGAGCAGUACGGCGCAUUUGUGCGGAUAAGCGGGUUUAUCGAGUAAAGCAUGAAAGUUGAAAGACGUGACUAGUAUAUCGGUAUAGUUUUCUGUCCUCGUGCCCUGGGGACCUGCUGUUUCAGUACAGUGUCUGCCGGUGCAUCUGGCGAAUCGAUCGGUGGUCGCUUAACUGUUUGUCCCAGGGUGCGCAUCCCUCACGGGGUGUUACUGUAGGCUGUUUCGCAUCCGUGUAUGCAGCGAUGCGUCUGUCUGUUGCUCUGAGCUUUACAGUCCUUCUUUUUAGCAUCGUCUUUGGUUCAUAAUUACGGGCCGCAUGGGUGCAGUAAAUGCGCUCGAACAGACAUGCAGAUGUUACGCGUUUUAAUCCAAACUGUCACCGACUCACUUUUUUAUUUUAUUUAUUUAUUUAUUUAUUUAUUUAUUUUUUACGCGAGACUAAAAUAAGUACUGCGUGCAACUGACGAGAAGUCUGACGAUUUCUCGCACGGGUCCGGCAACGCGCGCGGAUCCCCGCCGCUCCUGAUGGUGGAGAGCGCGCGGUGGGAGAGGCUCGCUUCCCGCAGGUCGUUUCUCGCGCGCACGCUGCGGCUGCACGCUAGAAUGUUGCGGCAAGUGCUGCACGAGGGGCUGCAGACGUCGUUCCACAAACUGGGCCACUUCGUCGCCAACCAUCCGGUGUUCUUCGCCUCCGCGCCCGUGCUACUCUCCGUCCUGCUCGGGGCCAGCUUCAGCCGCUACCGCGUGGAGGAGGACGUGGAGUACCUGUUGGCCCCCAAACACAGCUUGGCGAAGAUCGAAGGGAACCUGGUGGACAGCCUCUUCGCCGUGAACAGGUCCAAACACACGCUGUACUCCGACCUCCAGACCCCGGGCAGAUACGGCCGUGUCAUCGUGACCUCGCGCAGGGGGAACGUGCUGGACGCUACCCACGUUGAUCUUGUUUUAAAGCUCCACACCAGCAUCACCCACAUCCAGGUCCCCAUGCUGGGCUUCAACUACACCUUCGCGCAUCUCUGCCUGAUGGACGACAGCAAGAACUGCAUCAUCGACGACGUCCUGCGGGCCCUGGAGGAGAUCCGUGCCGCACGGGCCUCCAACCACACGGCGCCGCCCUUGGGCUAUCCCAUCACGCGGCUGAAGGACGGGCGGGAGGCCUACAUCGGGCACCAGCUGGGUGGGGUGCAGGCGGUCGGGGGCGGCCGAGAGGGCGUCCGGGCCGCCCGCGCCCUCCAGCUGACCUACUACCUGCAGGCGGCCAGCCCGCUCCACGAGGUAGUGGCAUCCCGCUGGGAGCUGCUGUUCUGCGGCGAGCUGGACCGGCUGGGGCGGGCGCACCCGGAGCUGGGCCUCUACCCCUUCACCUCGUCCUCGCUGCAGCAGGACUUCCAGAGGACGAGCCGCGUGUCGGAGCGACCGUUGCUCUGCAGUCUGGCGGCGUGCCUGGCCAUGGCGGUAAUCUGCUGCUCCAUGCGGGACUGCGUGCGCACCAAGCCCUGGCUGGGCCUCCUGGCGCUUGUGACCGUCAGCCUGGCCACGCUCACUUCCGCUGGCAUCUUCAACCUGGCGGGGGGGAAGUACAACUCCACGUACAUCGGCAUCCCCUUCGUCAUGCUGGGUCACGGCUUGUUCGGCACGUUCGAGAUGCUGUCAUCAUGGCGGCGGACGCGCGAGGACCAGCACGUGAAGGAGCGCGUGGCGUCUGUCUUCUCCGACUGCAUGAUGCCCUUCACGGCGAGCACGGCCUUGCACCUGGUCACGUUCGGCAUCGGCGCCAGCCCCUUCACCAACAUCGAGGCCGUGCGCCUCUUCUGCUGUAGCGCCUGCCUCUCUGUGCUCUUCAACUACCUCUACGUCCUCACCUUCUACGGCUCCAACCUGGUCUUCGCCGGAUACCUGGAGAACAGCUACCGCCACAGUCUGUUCUGCCGGCGGGUGCCCAAGCCGGAGUUGCUGCAGCAGAAGCCGGCCUGGUACCGCUUCCUGAUGUACACGCGGUACGACGAGGACGGGGCGGAGCCCGACGACCUGCAGGCGUACGAGAGCCACCUGCUGGUGGCCUUCAUGAAGCGCUACUACUGCGACUGGAUCACCAACACCUAUGUCAAGCCCUUUGUGGUUCUUUUCUACCUAGUCUAUGUGUCCUUCGCGCUGAUGGGCUACCUGCAGGUGAGCGAGGGGUCGGACUUCAGCAACGUGGUCGCCACAGAGACCAGCACCAUCGCGUACACGCGGGCACAGCAGCGCUACUUCAGCAGCUACAGCCCCGUCAUCGGCUUCUAUAUCUACGAGUCCAUCGAGUACUGGAACUCCAGCGUGCAGGAGGACCUGCUGGAGUACACCAAGGGCUUUGAGCGCAUCUCCUGGUUCGAGAGUUACCUGAACUACCUGCACGGGCAGAACAUCAGUGGCGGCCUGUCGCGGAGCAACUUCACCGAGCACCUGCGCUCGGGCUUCCUGCGCCAGCCGCGCUACCUCCACUUCUCCGACGACAUCAUCUUCGCCAAGCGGGCCGACGGCGAGGUGGACGUGGUGGCUUCCCGCAUGUUCCUGGUCGCCAAGACCACGGAGAACAAGCGCGAGGAGAUGUCCGUCCUGCUGGACACGCUGCGCAAGCUUUCGUUGACCUCCAGGGUGAAGUUCAUCAUCUUCAACCCCUCCUUCGUCUACAUGGACCGCUACGCGUCUUCGGUGGGCGCGCCGCUAAAGAACUCCUGCGUGGCCGCCCUGUUCCUGCUCUUCUUCUCGACAUUCCUGGCGGCCGACCCGCUCGUGAACGCCUGGCUGACCGUCACCGUGGCCUCGGUGGAGUUCGGCGUAGUGGGCUUCAUGACGCUCUGGCAGGUGGAACUGGACUGCGUCUCCGUAUUGUGUCUGAUCUACGGUGUGAACUACGCGGUGGACUCCAGCGCGCCCUUGGUGUCGGCCUUCACGCUGGGUCGCGAGUCCACGCGCACGCGCUGGGUGAAGGUGUCCCUAGAGCGCCACGGAGUGCCCGCCCUGCAGAGCUACGUGUGCUACAGCGCCGCCCUGCUGCCUCUGGCCACCGUGCCGUCCAACCUCACGCGCACGCUCUUCCGCUGCCUGUUCCUCACAGCACUCGUCACUGCCUUCCACUGCCUGGCAAUCCUGCCUGUGCUCCUCACCUUCCUGCCGCCCUCCAAGAGGAAGAGGAGGAACAGGAAGGGGGCGGCUGAGGACCGGGAGGACGUCGAGUGCGUGGAGAUGGCGGACAGCACACGCGUGGUCGAUCAGAUUACGACGGUCUGAGCGAGAGACGCACGCCAAACUGGGUGAACUCUGACCAGUGUGCCCAGCCGGAGUAGGUUCGCGGUGCCCAUCAAGAGCCCUGAAGUGUGGGCCCGGAAAGUAGAGACACCCUUGAGCAACCCUAGAAGCCCACAGAUGGCCUUGCAGCAGUAUGUGUGUGAGUGUGUUCAUCCUGGGCUUUGCUGUCAUGGUAAAAGAACGUUCUAGAUAGGCCUCGUCAUCAGAGCAAGGCUGGGUUGUCAUGGCGAUCGCCCUAUAAAGUGGCAUUCAAACUAAAGGUUUAAAGGGACGGGUCAUAAGAAGAGAACACAAAGUGCGAGAGGAGCAGAUGUUACUAAGAGUUGGCAGGUCGAGUCGCAGUGCAUCGCUUCCAUGGUAACCCCUGGUUUGCUGCUCAGUUUGGCUCUACAGUGCAUAUAUAAUUCACAUCCCAUCCGGGCCUCAGUCAAACCCUAAUAUGGUCAUUGGUUAGCAGUUACACCAUGUUGCAGUGCAGGAUGGAUACAAUCCAGAUUUUAUAUAAUCCAGAUUUUUCCCAGUUCUUGCUUUUCGUUUUUGGGUGCUGAAAACCCCCGUGACAGACGACGCUCCUUAUCAGUAUGUAUGAGUCACCCAUUUUGCCCUUCCCUCUGUGUGAGAGACACACAGGAGAGAGAGGUCAGAAAAGAGAGGGAUGAGACGGAGGGAGAGACAGAGGGAGGAGCAUCUGGCACAUCACAUCUAUUUGUUUCACUUCAGCCCUUCAGUCCUGAGGAGAUUCGUGUCAGAUCAAUCCUGAUACAAAAUGGAGUCUAUGCUGGUCCUUCUGAAUGCCGCUGUACGCUGGGACAGCUAAGAUUUAGUUUACAUCAGCUACAUCUUCCCUUUAACACGGCUAAAUGGACAGCAGACAGAUUUAUCACCACUGUGCUAACAAAAGGCUUGCACAGACGCCUGUCUCCAUGGUUUGGAGUGAAAUAACUGAUAAAUCCGAACCCUUUAGGUGAAAUCGCCGGAGGUCUUGGUGGACCAAACCUCUCCCACGGCACGGCCUGUAGGGGAGACUGAUUUUUUUUGGUAUUUUUGGUUGAGUGACCA